AGUGAACGCUGGCGGUAGGCCUAACACAUGCAAGUCGAACGGCAGCACAGUAAGAGCUUGCUCUUACGGGUGGCGAGUGGCGGACGGGUGAGGCAUACAUCGGAAUCUACUUUUUCGUGGGGGAUAACGUAGGGAAACUUACGCUAAUACCGCAUACGACCUACGGGUGAAAGCAGGGGAUCUUCGGACCUUGCGCGAUUGAAUGAGCCGAUGUCGGAUUAGCUAGUUGGCGGGGUAAAGGCCCACCAAGGCGACGAUCCGUAGCUGACCUGAGAGGAUGAUCGGCCACACUGGAACUGAGACACGGUCCAGACUCCUACGGGAGGCAGCAGUGGGGAAUAUUGGACAAUGGGCGCAAGCCUGAUCCAGCCAUACCGCGUGAGUGAAGAAGGCCUUCGGAUUGUAAAGCCCUUUUGUUGGGAAAGAAAAGCAGCAGGUUAAUACCCCGCUGUUCUGACGGUACCCAAAGAAUAAGCACCGGCUAACUUCGUG
rnacentral:rRNA from 1 species